UGAGGCCCUGCAUGUUCAUUGGUGGGAUGAAUUGGAUCCUACUUAUUUAACAGAUGGGGUACAGUAUAUCCAUUUAAUGAACAUGCAAAAAUCCAAGAUUAAUCCAAAGAUCCUGGACAAAAAAAUCCCUGCCCCAAGCUCACGGCCUAUUAUGAGCCCGUUGACCACUUAUGACUGCCUCAAAUUUGUCACCCACCUGUGAACUCACCGCUUAUUUUACGUUUCUAUUUUUUAUUCGUAAAAAUGAGAAAGCACGGACUCGAAAAAAAAAAACGUCCAAAUCGAAGAGGAAAAAAUAGGGAAAAAAUUUUAAAAAAAGUUCUGAAAAUUAACUUGUGAUCGUAGUUGGGCCAUGAUUUAAUGGGCUUUAAUCGCGUCAAACGUUAGGUUAAAAUCCGAGGUCUCAGAAGCAAAUCAGAGAGAGAGAGAGAGAGAGACUAGAAGAGAGUGCAAGAAUAGAUGGCAUCAGCGGCGGAUAUCAUCUUCAAAGGGUUGACGGGGGCGCUGGCAGCGACGACGCUCUACUUGACAGCUACCUUCUCCGUCAACCUCUAUCGGGGCAUCUCUUGGCACAAUGCUCAAUCCAAGUUGGAGAAAGAAAAAUAUGAAGAAUGAAGUAGACAGGAAGACUACCUGCGAUUCUAUUCAGAAUAUUUGUUAGUGGGAUAAUAGGCUAUAUAUCCUAUUCCUAUAUUAUUUUGUUCUAGUUGGUGGUCUUGAUGCUUAAACAUCAGGUUUUGACAAGGUAUCUUAAAGUUGUUCCAAGACAGAUAUCAGAAAGAGAUUGUUUUCUGUAAGGACUGCGCGUGUAACCUUGUUUUCUCUGUUAUAAGAAUCCUCUUCCCCUUUUUCUUAUUAGUUCA